ensembl:lncRNA
AUGCCCUCGUUUUCCAACUGCCCCACUUUUGUUCUAAUACACUUCUCCUCACAUCCACAAUACAAUGUAUGCCUGUUACUUCUCUCUUUCUCUCUCCCUCUAUCCUCCUUUCUUCCUCUAUCUAUUCCCUCCCCUUUUCUCCUCUCUAUCCCUCUACUAUUUCAAGCUAGAUACUGUCUCUCUGAUUGCAGUCAAUGUCCCUCUCUCUUCCUCUCUCCCUCCCUCUCUUUUCCUCCUCCGUACCAGACAGCGGCCCACUCACCUUCAUUAGGCUGUGUCUCUGCAUCUCUGCUCCCAGCCUUAAUGAGAACAGAGAGCGAGCAAAACAAAUCCAAUAAGACAAUGCAGGCAGGCGAAGCACAAACUAGGUUGCUUCGUCUGUGCUUUCCCAUUUCUCCUCCCCUCCUUUUCUCCUUCCUUUUUUGACUAAUGUAAUUUAUGCAAAGGGAAAUUAUAAAUAGCAUAUCAAUACCGACGCACUAUUACGAGUUCUGGGCAGAGCAGCACUGCUCAGCUGUCAUGGUAAGUAGGCCAGACAAGGUGUGUGUGGGAAAGGCUAGGUGUGUGGGAGCGCCCUGACAAGUGAACUCCAGAACAGUGUGUAUGUGUGUGUGUGUGUGUGUGUGUGUGUGUGUGUGUGUGUGUGUGUGUGUGUGUGUGUGUGUGUGUGUGUGUGUGUGUGUGUGUGUGUGUGUGUGUGUGUGUGUGUGUGUGUGUGUGUGUGUGUGGCGGAACCUGUCUACAGUGCCGACAAGGUCACCUCUAGAUGGAAUGAAAUAUAGAAGAAGGAAGACAGACAGGGUAAGUAGUUUUGGUUGUUAACCAGCCCUCUCUCCUUCCCUCCCUCCUUCCCUCACCUCCCUUCCUCUGAACUGGUCUCUAGUUCCAUGGGAAUGAAUGUUUGGACUCAGAGAGGAUGUGUGUUUGUUAACUGGCCCAGUAUUAUGUCUGCGGUGAGGUCCCAGGAAGGUAAAACAACUGGUGUUUUCAGUCUGUUCUUUUAUCAGAUAACCCUUUUGGAUGUUACUUUUUUCUGAAUACGGUAUUUGAAGGACUACUAGAGCUGUUUAUUUCCAGGGAAAAGUGGACAAAAAUGCUCUUGUAUGAAAUGACUAUCCAAUCGCGCAGCGUCAGGAUACAUGACGAUCAAAACAAAUGUAGCUAGUUGUGCAAGGCAUUUUAUUGAUAAAAGCAUAAGUAGCAUAUCACUCUUAAAUGUUUGCUUUCUUUUCUCCUUCGAGAAAACAUGAAGGACUCAGGUAGGAUGCACUUGUGCUUCCUUGCCAAAAGGAGGAUAUCAAGGAGGGGAAGACUGUUUGCUUACUAAGGAAUUGAUACACUCCUUGAUCACUCAACCACUUAUCGGUUCCCGUGUCACAGAGGAGAGAGGACGGAGGACAGACUUUUUCCCAAAUGAGAAAACCCCUUGAUCGAUUGAUGAACCCCCCUCCACACGCAUGCACACUUCUCUCCCUGUUGUUUUGCACUACUAACCACAUCACAAAUAGAGAUGGGCAGUAUUUAUUCAACAUGUAUUUCAAAUACUUUUGAGUAUUUUGUCAUUUGUAGUUCACCAGCCUGAACAAUAACCCAAUCUAUUUUCUAACAAUAUACUUUCGAGACCUAUAAAUUCUAUUUUUUUGUGUACUAUUUUUUAUAGUAGUUCACAAUUUUGCGGGCUCUUUUCACCCUACAUUGGUAUCAGAAGUCUGAUGGCACUAUGUGAUGAGUGUCAGUAAAAUGACUAAUAUGUAAACGUAAAAAAAAAGAACACCUGCAGGGCAUGCUGGGUAUUAUUCUAAUGAGCUCCACUCUGAAACAAGGCCAAUAAUAAUACCCAGUGUGCUUUGCAUUUGUUCAUUUUUACAUAAACAUUUACAUUUUAGUCACUUAGCAGACACUCUUAUACAGAGCGACUUAUUCAGGUAGAUUACAAAAAAACACAUCACAGAGAUAACAAGUAAAACAUUUUUUUC